UGGGGUAUAUUGCACAAUGCGCGAAAGCCUGAUGCAGCGACGCCGCGUGAGGGAUGACGGCCUUCGGGUUGUAAACCUCUUUCAGCAGGGACGAAGCGCAAGUGACGGUACCUGCAGAAGAAGCACCGGCUAACUACGUGCCAGCAGCCGCGGUAAUACGUAGGGUGCAAGCGUUGUCCGGAAUUACUGGGCGUAAAGAGUUCGUAGGCGGUUUGUCGCGUCGUUUGUGAAAACCAGCAGCUCAACUGCUGGCUUGCAGGGGAUACGGGCAGACUUGAGAACUGCGGGGGAGAAUGGAAAUCCUGGUGUAGCGGGGAAAUGCGCAGAUAUCAGGAGGAAAACCGGUGGCGAAGGCGGGUCUCUGGGCAGUAACUGACGCUGAGGAACGAAAGAGUGGGUGGCGAACAGG
rnacentral:rRNA from 1 species